CAGGUAAAGACCAACCUCUCUGGAAUCCCAUGAGGUAUGCAUCUCUGGGCUGGCACUGGACCAUUAAUAAUUACUUACCGAGAAAGGCCUUCUAAGCCCUAAUGAGUCCAUCCAAUGAGAAGAUGAUUUCAGGAUGUAGUUCUUUAAUUGCCCAACGUCAAGCAAGACAAAACUUAAAAAUGUACGGGAUUAGAUUUCAGGAAGAAAAGCAAACAAGGAAAAGUACUUCUGAAGUUCCCCAGCACAUCAGUUGCCUCAACAUAGUAAAUCCAGGCAAAGAAAUGCCAAGACUCCACUAGCUCAGCCCCAACCCUCUGGUAAGGUCAAAAUACUGCAGGAGGGGAAUUAGCCAGUAACUGUUUCCACCAUCAUGCCCUGCUCUCCAUGUACCUGCCCAGUUGUGAGAUCCUUAGCUUGAGUGUUAGGAUGUCAUUUUCUCUACAAGCACUCGGUCAAUUAUAAAGUACUUGGCAUUGUGGGAGAGCAUUUCUUUCUGACCUCUGUCAGCAGAUGCUUGAUCUCUAGAAGCCUGGGGGGAUUGAUUACCUUCUGGUAACCACAGUUGCCAAUCUCACUGAGACAGUUGGGGAGAAGAGAAGGGCAGAGGGGUAGGCAAUCUUAUUGCUCCUGGUGGACAAAUCCAUUGAUGAAUUGCCUCCUGGGGAAGAUGGAAAAAAGAGUGUGCAAUGAUUUGUGUAUU
rnacentral:lncRNA from 1 species